GAACUUUCGGAGAAAUCAGAAGGUUGAUCUAGCUCACAUAGGGACUGCUUUACGGCCCGUUGAAGUCGGCCAGGGCGUGCAAGUUACGUAUCUGGACACAUCAUUGGGUCUAUGAAACACGUUCGGCCGAGAUAUUCUGUUCCUGUAGACUUGCAGUCAACACUCUUGUGUACAGCAGAUUGUGCUUCACUUCCCAGAUGUGCCUCACUCAACAGCUCGAGGAAGAUGCGGAAGGCAUGUGGCAGUGGCAUUGUAGACAAGAAUGGGAAGAAUGUCUUCUACCAGCACCAAAAACAUCAAUAAUCUUUCUAGAACCAGAUUAUGAUUGAGCUCUUGUGUUACCGAAAACAGGAAUGAUCAGAAUUGGGUUGGCAAGUUGAUGCCUUGCGUUGAGGUUAAGGUUCAGUGGUGAGCAACACUUGGGCAAGUUAUCUUUGCCAACAACCAUCAAACCAGGAAUUGUUCCUUGGCCAGUUGUGUAUGCCCAGUGUAUGUAAUUUUUAGGACUUGUAAUAUAUCAGUUCCAUUUUUAUCAGAAAUGAUGGGAAGAGAAGAAGAAUUUUUACCUUUGAUGUUGAAAA